rnacentral:rRNA from 1 species
AUGGAGUACUAUCAUAUUGCCAACAAGAUGUUUAAUAGUGAGGAUGAAGGGUAUACAUUCUAUAACAAAUAUGGUCCUGAGAAAGGUUUUAGUGUCCGGAGAAGCUAUGUCGAGUGGGAUGGAUCCAACUGCCAUAUAAUUUGAAGGAAUUUUGUGUGUAGUCGUGAAGGGGUUCAUGAAGAGAAGCACAUGAAGAGGAAGAUGGAAGAUAGAAAGAGGAGGCCACGGAGUAUAACUCGUGUAGGGUGUAAAGCUAAAUUGGUGAUUGCAAGACAGGAGGAAACAGGUCAGUGGUUUGUCAAGGAUUUCAUCGAUGAACCCAACCAUCCUCUAGCCCCACAAGAUCUGUCGUGUCUUUUGCGUUCACACAGAAGAAUUAGCGAUGAGCAGAAAGCGGACAUUGCAGACAUGGAAAAAGCUGGGAUCAGAAAACACCAUAUUAUGGAUAUUAUGUGCAUGCAAUACGGUGGAUAUGAUGAGGUUGGAUGCAUUAUGAGGGACAUUUACAAUUUCUGCCAUGCUAACAAGCAGGAAACAAUUUCUUCCGGGGAUGCUCAAACGGUGAUUAAUCACAUGGUGGCGAGGCAAGAGCAAGAUUCAGAUGUUUUCUUCAGGUACUUGGUUGAUGAAGCUGGCCAUCUGAAGGGACUGUUCAGGUGUGAUAGUCAAUCCCGACUUGACUACGAGGCUUUCGGAGAUGUUAUUGUUUUUGAUAGCACAUACAGAACCAAUACGUACAAUCUGCCAUUUGUGCCAUUUGUCGGGUUGAAUCACCACCGCAGCACCGUUAUUUUUGCAUGUGGUAUCAUUUCACAUGAAAUAAGCCAGGCAUACGAGUGGAUGUUACGGACCUUUUAUGAUGCUAUGAGACAGAAGCAUCCUAUAUCUGUGAUCACGGAUGGGGACCUUGCAAUGCAGAGAGCAAUCAGGGUGGUGUGGCCUGACUCAAACCAGAGGCUAUGUAUAUGGCACAUUCAGCAGAACAUUGUACGCCAUCUGCAUGAUGACGCGGUAAAGGAGGAAUUCAGAUCUUUCAUAUAUGAUACAUCUUCCAUUGAAGAGCAUGAGAGAAAAUGGUUACACUUAUUACAACAGAAUAAAGUAACCAGUGAGGACUCCUGGCUGCAUUAGAUGUAUAAGAUGAGAAAACUAUGGUGUGCUCCCUAUCUUGAGGGCCGUUGUUUCCUAGGAUUGAGCAGCAAUCAGUGGAGUGAGAGUUUAAACUCGGUGCUACAUACGCAUCAUGAGGCUAAGAUGACGUUGUUUCAAAUGCUAGAGAACUAUGAGCAUUGCCUUGCGUCGCGACGCUUGAACGAGGCUCUCCAAGACGUCGAGGCCUUGCAGUCCGUUCCGUUCACAAAGGAAAAUGCUUCAGUUCUUGAGAAACACGCCGCGAAAGUUUUCACUCCUGGUGUGUUUAAGUUGGUUUUAUGGAGCAUAGAUGCUGUCAACAAAUGUGAGAUCAGAGAGGUACUUGAUACAGCAGAGGUUACCACAUACGUUGUGUCUAAGAAGGAAUGAAUGGAUAAAAAGAUCGAAGUGCGCACGGAGUCGAAGGAAGGUCUGCUUCGCAGUAUCAGUUAUUCUUGCCGCAAAUUGGAAUGCGCAGGCACACCAUGUUCCCACAUAUUUUACAUAUUGGGAAUUUUACAAGAAGAAACACUGUCCAGGUGUUGUGUUCCCUCUAGGUGGACAAUGAGUGCGAAAUGUGCAUUCGCACCGACCAGAAAGAGUGAGAUGUUUAGUCACGCAGCAUGUUUCAAGGCAUGCCACUCUGAUGAGGCGUUUCAGCAUCUAAAAAGGGUUUUGAAGGGACAAGAUGUUUGCAAGGGAUCAACAAGUGAACAAGCUGAUAGCAAUGGAUCAACUAAUGCUCAGGGUACCAGCAUUAGGUUUGGCCCGUUGAUGCCACAAUUGGCUAACCUUGAUGGUGAAGGUUUCAAAAAGGUUCUGGAUCCCGUGCAUGUGCCAGGCCGAGGUGCUCCGAAGAAAAGGCUACAGGCAAGGAUGAAGAAAAUCAGAACAAAGGGUAGAUGUAGCUAUUUUCAUGAGGCAGAUGGUAACAAUCGACGUACGUGCGCCAAAUUGAUAGAGGUACCUAAUAUGCCGUAA